GUGGCCCCAAGUCAGGCGAAGCCCACCCGCCGAGUUUAA
rnacentral:rRNA from 2 species